rnacentral:rRNA from 1 species
GUGGGGAAUCUUCCGCAAUGGACGAAAGUCUGACGGAGCGACGCCGCGUGAGUGAAGAAGGCCUUCGGGUCGUAAAACUCUGUCAUCAGGGACGAACGGCCGGUGGAGUGGAAAGCCACCGGAUUGACGGUACCUGAGAAGGAAGCCACGGCUAACUACGUGCCAGCAGCCGCGGUAAUACGUAGGUGGCAAGCGUUGUCCGGAAUUAUUGGGCGUAAAGCGCGCGCAGGUGGGAUCUUAAGUCCAUUUUGAAAGUUCGGAGCUCAACUCCGUGAUGGGAUGGAAACUGGGAUUCUUGAGUACCGGAGAGGAAAGCGGAAUUCCCGGUGUAGCGGUGAAAUGCGUAGAUAUGGGGAGGAACACCAGUGGCGAAGGCGGCUUUCUGGACGGUGUCUGACACUGAGGCGCGAAAGCCAGGGGAGCGAACGGGAUUAGAAACCCUUGUAGUCC